GCAGACCUUUUCCUAUUCAGAGAAAGCCUGAAGAUAUAAAGAGGAAAGUGAAGAAAAACCACCGGAAAUCCCAUCCCCGCCCCAGCAUCUGGCACUGUGUGGGCGAUCACGAAAUGAGCGCUUGUUUUUGAAGGCGUAGUAUCUCCGUGAACAUCCGGUUGAACAACCUUUCUGACUUUAUUUUUCCCACGAAAGUUAUUAAUUAAAAAACAAAAAGCAAAACACCGAAAAAACAAAAAACCCAGCAAGUGUUUGAGCUCCCACCACGAGGGAGGCCUGACGUCACUGGAUCCUCCCGGCAGCCGAUGAGGCUGCAUGGGACUUGCCCACGAUGUGCUGUUACCGAGUGGCAUAGCCAGGCUUCAAACCAGAGUCCUAGCUAACCGCCCUGUAUAUACCAUGGGCUCAUCAUCUUCCCUGGUUCCAGCUCAGAACAGAGACUCAGAGGAACAAGGGCUCUGCGCUCACCCUGCCUGGACCUUGCCCAGACUCAACUUCCCUCUUCCCCAUGGACCCAAGUUGCUGAGCUUCCAACAGGUGUUUACAGCAAAGGAGAAUGAGACAGAGAGAAGCAGAGAUGCAGAGAGAAAGACAGACAGAGAAGACUAAACUGAUUGAUCCCAACUCCAUUAUGAUAUCUGACUCCAACCACAGAAUGACCCUGAUCCAGCCACAGACUGACUUCUGAUCCUGGCCACAGUCCACCUCCUGUCCUCAGCCACAGAACAGCUCUGACUCAAGCCAGGAACUGAGUCCCGACCCAUGUUACUGACUUACUCAUGAUCCUGGUUGCAGGCUGGCCCCAGCCACAUGCUGACCCCUGACCCUCACCACAGAUGGAUCUUUGAUCCCAGCUAUAGGCUGAUCUCUGAUUCUGGCUGCCCUGAACCACCACUCCUAUAUACUGAUGACCCACCUUAGCGUGAUCCCACCCAGGAACUGGCAUUUCCUGGGACAGGCUCUUGGCCACCUGCUGCUCUGCCCUGGGCACACCAGGCCCUACGCAUCCUCCCCCUUCCACCACCAUCCAUGAUUUCCUGAUUUCUAGCAGCAAAUUUAGCUUGAGUUGGUCAACAUAGCUGGGCUGCCUGACCUUCCUCUCUGCCAUGGAACCACAGAGCAAGUCAGCAGUUCUCCUUCCUAAUCAAAAAGCAGCAUGGAGGAGAAGGCUCCUUUGCCACCUUCCUUUCUGCUUUGGAUGGUGCUUUUGCAAUCAUGAGGAGACAAGCCUGGAGAUGAAAGGAGGCAUUCUGAAUAUGGUGGAGUGGAAGAAGAAGAAGGCCUGCCUGGGGCUUUGAUUACAUCACCAAGUGAUCAAACCAACCUUAAAUUCUUAAAUAAACUGUAAGUGU
rnacentral:lncRNA from 10 species